CUAAUAACAGUGUUCUGGUUCAGAAAACAGAGAGCCCAAUCUCGUACUUCUCUAACAAAAUCUUCUUCGUUUAUGAGUGAGUGAUUCUGUUAUCCAGUGCUGAUGAUGACGAUGGCAGCUAAAUGUGAUUCUUCCACAACAUUUCCAUUAUUUGCUUUCCGAAAGUUCAUCACUCCGAGG